CUGCCUUGCACAUUUCGUGUUUUCCUUCUUCCCUCGCCCUGUGUGUGCACGCCUCUUUCGCCUUGUCUCUCCAUCUUCUUCGCUGGCACCACCACCAUCUGCUGCAGCGUGUGCGUGCGUGUGUGUGCACAUCUCUUCCUCUCUCCCUCGUGUGUGUGCGUGUGUGAGGGUCGAGAACCCCAACUCGGUUGUCUUGCCGUUCACACGCGUAGCGCGUGCGACACGCGUGUGUCGGCGUGACGCUUGGCAGCGCUCUCCUUGUCUUUCUUUUUGGCAUCAUUCGUUGCGCCUACCUACUCUCUCACUGACACACGCACACACACACGUAUAUGUAUACGUAUAUACAUACAUGUCUUGCGCAGCAAUCGGUGCAGUUCUCCCCCCUCCUCCUCUUCUUCCUCUUCCUCUCUCUGCCGCUGUGCGUGCGUGUGUAGGUAUUUCUUAGCCAAUUCCUCUCCUCCUCUCCUCACCUUCCUGUAGGCUGCUGCUACUUCACAUCGUCGCAGCCAUAGCAAUCAUCGCCGCUGUGUGCCAUUGUUAGUACUACUGCUGCUGUUUUAGGGCGUCACUGUGUGCCUGCUCGUGUAUAUGGGAGAGGGGCAAGGCUCAAGAGGCAGAUCUGUCACCGCCUUUCAGGAUAGCGAAGGGUGUGCCACACCACCACCAACCUGCCGCUUCUCUCCUCGCCUCUCGCCGUCUCUCUCUGCGUGUGUGUGUGUGGGUGUGUGUGUUUGCCCUUUUCCUUGUGUGUUGGUUACGCGGCAUUUCGCACGGAGCACCACUGGCACGCUACCGUCACCGCCGUUCCCCCUCCCCUCCCGCAUCGAAAGCCGCCGGCUGAGCGAGACGCGCAAAUGCGCCGAAUGCAGGUGGCGCUGUGCACCAGCGGUGACCCGUAUCACGUGCCGUCGCUUGCACGUGUCGCACUCUUCCCGCUGCAUCUGGACCCGCCAACGAAGCAACAUCGCGAGCUGUUCCGGCUGCUGCUCGGCGCGCCAGAUCUCGCCGCCGGGCCGUCGAUGCCCUCCUCUACGGCAUCAAAGCUCGCGUCACCGUUGCCGAGCAUCUCCACCGCUGCCACGUCGGCGGCGGCGGCCGCGUCGUCGUCCUCUUGCCUCCCUCGGCGGUCGCCCUCUGUUUCUCCCGGGCUCUUAUCCGCCACCGCGGUUCCUUCUCAUGCGAAGGCGAUCCAGUCCGGCGUCACUGCGCGGGGGCUGAACGUAUUCGACCGCUCCACUGAGGGGACCAUGAGUACGUCAUUGCCACCGUCACCGGUGGCACAGACCAAGUCUAGCGGCGAAUGGCAGCAGGGCGUUCAUUUCGCGAGUGCGACAGCACCAACGCCGUCGACCGACACCGCGUCGUCCUCCGGCAUCUCCAGCGUCAACGACUCUGACCCCAUCUCCUGCGGCACCUCGUCGCCGUACUGGUACAUGGAGGCGUUCGCAACGAGCCUGCGCGAGGACAGUCAGCUGGCGCCCUUUGACUAUAUCAUCCUUAUCCCCAACACCCGAUACCCUGUCAGCCUGCGUCAAUCGACGCACCUCGCGGCGCUGGCGGUACUUGCGGCGCGCGGCUUGGCUCGCGUGCACGUCGACUUCACCGCGCUGGAGCACCCAGACGAGUCGAUGCCCAUCGUAUACGAGCUCAUCUGCCGCUACCCCAACAGCGUGCUGGUCCACUGGCUGCAUGACGCUUACGAGGUGCUCAACUGGAGCCACUUCGCCGACUUCAAGUCGACGGUGCCGAUGCUGCUGCUGCAGACGCAGAGCUACCCACCGAAGGCGCUGGAGCGACAGCGGCCGAUGGGCAGCGUGUCGCGGCUCACGUCACGACAGUAUCACUCGCCGAUUGGCCAGUACGUGCGCAGCCCGGAGGAGGCGGACUACUAUCGGCGCGCAGAGCGCUUUAUGAAAGCGGCAUCCAAGUACCGCCGACGCAACGCGACGCCCAUGACGACGGCGACAGCAGACGGCGGCGAUCCGGAGAGGCGCUACGAGAGUGCCUCGCUGGUGGAUCGGGAGUCGGACUACUUCGACGACGUCCCCAACGUGCCGUCGCCGCGGCGUAGGCUCGACGAAGACGUGCCGGAAAGCGGCACCGAGGCGACCAAGAGGUCUCUACAGCCGGAGUACGCGAAGGUGCUGGCCCGCUCGCCGCUGCUGCGCGGCGUCGACACCACGACGCGGACGGCCUCCACGGCCUCCACCUCGGUCUCCAUCUCCGCCGCUGGAGGUCGCGCGACAGGCCUGAAAACGGGACUCCCGUGGCGGGAGUCCUCGUCGGUGCACGGGGAACCGGGGCUGAGCUACGUGAACUGCGCCAAAGGUCGCUGGUGGAACACGCCUGGCGGCCGCGGCGAUGACGAGGUCGAGGUGAGCCGCUCGUACUGGAGCUCCACUAGCAGCAGCUGGCUCGGCGGCGGCACUGCAUCAUCUGCGGCUCUGCCCGAGUGGAUGGAGGAGGAAGGGGUGACGACGGCGGACCACGCGCGGGGAAGGCACCAGCGCCGCCGCGUCAGAGACGCCUCUACCGUCGCUGCCGAAGCCCACGAAGCAGGUGACGUCUUCGAGACGGGCGACUGCUCCGGUGAGAGUGAUCAGAGGUCGCAGAAAAUGGACACGGUGGUGUCUGACGACGGCUUUGCGCUCAUGGAGGACACUCCGGCGGACGAGGGAGCCGGCGCCGGGGUCUCUCGAGCAGGCUCAAAAACGAACACUGAGAGGAGGCAGCUCUCUCUGGCCAAGUCGGUGGCUGGUGCGGCGUCUAUAACCACGAGAGCAGGCACGGCGCCCGCCGUGCCCACCUCGCCGGAGGGUCGCGAGGCCGCAGACGAAGAAACCCGCAAGCGCUUUCUGACCCGCGAGAUCGAGGAGGUACGUGCGGAGCUGAAGCGCAUGCUAAGGCCGGGCAGCGCCGCCGCCGCCACCGCUGUUUCCAUGACUACCUCGGGUGGCGUCACCACGGGCGCUGCCGCUGCUGCUGCAGGCGGGAACUCCUCUGACGGGGUAGGAGCGGCGAGGUCGAGCUCAGCAUCGGGCGGCCGGGUAUCGAAGACGCGCGCUAACAUCACGGCUCGUCUCGCCGCUCACUGCGCUGCCAGCCCUUUCGGCGCUGAGGAUGCUCGCCACGAAGAGCACUACCCGGCGCGACGUCGCAACCGCACCGUGCGCCAGCUGAUCGACGAGCUCUACCCGCCGCGCGCGUAUGCCUCCGUGAGCGCUGCGACUAGCGCGAGCGCCGCGUCCGCGGCCACAGAAGCCGGCGUGGUGGGCGCCACAUUCGCCACGGACUCAUCGCACUUCUUUUCGUCGUCGCAUCCGAUGCUGAAGCCCAGGGCAGAGCCGCAGUCCUCUGCGGCUGCGAUGCCGUUCAACCAACACGACGGCAGCAGCCACAACUACGAGAGCGGCGACCGAAAUAGCAGCAGCGGCAGCGCGUUUAUGGACCUCAGCGCGUGGUUGGACGCACCAAUGGUGGAGGUUCACCCCAUCACGCGGAGCACCGGCGCGGAUGUGCGGCAGGCGCUUUGGGAGCAGGAGAUCCACCCCUCUUUCAUCUUAACGGAUUGCGUGCAGCGGUACGUUGAGGGGCAUGGCCUCUACCGCGACCCCCGUAAGGCAACAGCCGCCUCUCUCUACGGCAGCGUCGGCGUCAGCAGCGACUACGGCAACGGCGCCCGCAGCGGCAGCGGUGGCGGUGGCGGCGCCUCCGGACUGGGCGGCAGCGCCGGGGCGGUGGGACAGAUGGGUGGCUCCGAUGCCGGGUUCCGCGACUCGGCGGCGGCCGGCGUCUGCGGUGCUAGCAGUGGCGUCGGCGGCGGCAUGGGCAACAGCGCCGGCGGCAGUAUUGGCAUCCGCCGCGUCGUUGCCCCACGCGACACGGCCACGCUCUCCUUUCCUGGGCUCAUCCCUCGUCUGGAACUCCACUACGAUCGCAACAACCUCCUUGCACGAGAGCAGUACGAGAAGCUGCGCAUUUUCCAGUGUCAGGACGGCGAGGAGCCGGACCUGAUUGUGCCUAUCGGCGGCGAUGGGUACAUGAUGCACUGCAUCCGCAAGAACUGGCGACGCUUCAUCCCCUUCUACGGCGUCAACGCCGGCCACGUCGGCUACUUGCUGAACGACCGCUCUACCUUGGAGGAGCUCUUCUCCUCGCCGCUGAAGCUGCACUUCACGACAAUGCUAUACUGCCAGGCGGAGAAGGAGAGCGACACGGGCGAGCGGAUGUUGCUGUCGGAGCUGGCGUUCAACGAUGCCUGGGUGGAGCGGUCGAGCGGGCAGACGGCGCUGAUCCGCAUUCUCGUCAACGGGCAGGAGCGCAUUCGACGGCUGCGUGGUGAUGGCGUGCUUGUCUCCACGGCCGCCGGCAGCACAGCCUACAGCCAGGCUCUGGGCGCGUCCCCUGUGCCGGUGGGCGCACCGCUCAUCCAAAUCGUCGGAAGCAACGUUGUAUCGCCCGCGCAGUGGCGACCGGCGCAUCUCGAUCAGGAAGACCAGGUGGAGUUCGAGGUCAUCGACAGCACAAAGCGGCCAUGCCGCUGCUACGUCGACUCCGUUGAUGUUGGUAACGUAACGCGCUUGCUCAUCCGGUCCAGCCGAGUCGCCGGCGUGACCCUCGCCUUCUCGAAGAGCUGCGAUUUGCAGCACAAGUUGUACCAGAUGCAGUUCCCCAAGACGCUGUGAAGGUGGCAAGGUAGUCGGGGUCUGAGGGGGUGAGGGUGGGGGAGAGAGAUGGGUCUUGGCUGAUUCUGCCCAUGCAUGUCUGUCUCUGCUUCUGCCGUGUGUAUGUGUGCGUGCGCGUUGACAAGAAGUCCGCCACUACCACAGCAGCGGCAGCAGCAGGCGCAGCUUACCAUCUGCGUGCACCCCGUGCCCACAUCAGUCGACACACGCGCCACGGCGCUUUACCUCGCCGGCCUCGUCGUCCUCCUCAAACAAUCGUAUCCCUUCUUCUUUCCGUUGCUUGGGCCAUCGUGUGAGGGGGAUGCUCACGGUACAUCUCUGUCGCUGCCGUCUCCCUCUCUUUGUCGUUCGCGUUAUGCAUUUUC
rnacentral:misc_RNA from 1 species